AGCAGCCGCGGUAAUUCCAGCUCCAAUAGCGUAUAUUAAAGUUGUUGCAGUUAAAAAGCUCGUAGUUGAAUUUUUGAUUCUUCCAAUUGGUCCAUCUUUUAGAUGAGUACUGGUUGUGUGGGGUCUAUCCGCCUGGUGAUACGUAAUGUCCUUUAUUGGGUGUUGCGGGUAGUCAGGACGUUUACCUUGAAAAAAUUAGAGUGUUUAAAGCAGGCUUAUGCCGGAGUACAUUAGCAUGGAAUAAUAGAAUAGGACGAAGUUGUUUUAUUUUGUUGGUUUCUAGGACAACCGUAAUGAUUAAUAGGGAUAGUUGGGGGCAUUAGUAUUCAAUUGUCAGAGGUGAAAUUCUUGGAUUUAUUGAAGACUAACUAUUGUCGAAAGCAUUUGCCAAGGAUGUUUUC
rnacentral:rRNA from 1 species